AUGCAGUCUGACCGGAUUUAUUUUUAACUGGCAAUAUUUGACCGGCUUUUUAGAAGAUGGGUCAACUAUCGAGAUGGGUGUGGGGGGUCCUGCUAUGCCUUACCAUUUCUUCAACUCCAGGUUCAUCUGCAGAUUCAGUAGACCCUGUCACAUUAAUCACUACGCCUGUGGCUUUGGCAAUCGAGAUCACCAAUGUGGGCUUCAAUGCCUCCCUUCAGAAUAGGGAAUCAGAGUACUCCAAGAUGUUGGAUGCAGAAGUGGAGACGCUGGUAAAGCCUCUAACAACAACAACAACACCACAGUUCCUAGAUAUCAGGACAAAAAAUAAACAAAUCCAUUUUGUAAAAGAUACUAGGUAGAUAUUUAGAGUCAAUUCCAGAAAAAAUGCAUUAGCUAUUGUUCUACACAGCUUUUCAAACUCAGACCACAGUGUGACAUGUAUUUAAACAGAAUGGUUUGAAUUAGCAUACAUACCUUAAUUUGUCAUAUUUUUGUUCCAAACAACAAGGUAGAUAAUUUAAUCAGAGCAACUAUUGGUGCGCAUUACAGCUUGAUGGCAUUUACAAAUGUGAAGCAUGCCCAACUAAACUCUUCUACGAAGGUGUUGAAUGCAUAAACUACAGGUAUUGUACUCUUAAAUUUAUGUUAUUGUCUGGGUAUGCUAGAUUUGUGUUUUGCUUUGGUUUUAUGUUGGUAUUUAAUAUUAGUUGUAUUUAUUAUUUUUAUACUUCACAGCCAUGGACUGAUAGCUAACGCGUCUAUCAUCUUCAACACAACUUCCAUCGACCCGAGUAUUGUCCGUGCAUUGUUUACAAUAUAUUUAGCAGAAGCCCUACCGCAGACAAGCCUCAAUGUGAACGAGGAAUACACAAGCGGUACAACCUUUAUUUUCACAUAUUUGUUCGUCAACAUCCAUAUCUUUUUCAAAUCACCACAGUUGUAUCCGUGUUCAGUGUUCAAUUACCUUCUCUGUUCUUUCUAUUUUUUCUCAAGAUUCAAUGCCAGUCAUAUUGGAUGAAGAUGUGUGCAAGAAAACUACUACAACUCCUGAGCCAACUACAACUCCUAAGACAUCUUCAACUCCUGAGCCAACUUCAACUCCUUCAACUCCUCAGCCUCCUCCCACCCCUGAGCCAACUUCAAUUCCUGAGCCUACAAAGACCACUGGCCUUAUCAUGACCCCUGACCCUUCCAAAACCCCCGACCCUACAAAUGCCCCUGACCCUACAGUGACCUCUGAUCCGACCCGUAGCGGAGGAACAUCUGACCCUUCCAGUGGUGGAGGAAACCGUGACGAUAGAGACUGGGUGCCCGGAUGGGGCAUUGCACUCCUGGUGUUAGCUGCAGCCAUCCUGUUGCUUCUCAUCAUCCUUUUCAUCCUUUUGUGUAUUCGCUUUUGCCGUAAGCGCCCAUCAGAGGACCCCAUGGAGAAGAACCCUGACCCAUACUAUGAUGAAAACAAGAUGCAUCCUCAGGAAACUGUGCCUGUACUCUAUCCAUCAGCACCGACAGCAGCGCCCUCAAGUCCAAUGCAGACAGAGAUGGUUGUUGGUGACACUCCCAAAAAGAAUCGGACAGGCUUCUAUGCUUUGAAUCCUUGACAUGAAGGCAAAUUAGUAUGUUUUGCGGCAUCAGGCACACAAAAGAUGACUAAUGAAACCUAUGGAAACAAGAGAAUAGAAGGCCUUUGUACCGUCAAUUAAUGCAUCAUCUGAAUUAUAUUUUUAUGAAUAAUAUUUAUUACAGUACUUUCAUUACUGUUUAUUACACUAUUUACAUCAAGAACUUUAUUUAUAGGGAACAUAUAUGUUGUAAUCAUUGUAUCAUAUUGCAAUUCAUCAGCAAUUCAUUCGUUAUUUUGUUAAGUGUUUUCUGCUAAAGCCCCAUGUCCAUUAUAAGCUUCGUCAAGGUGUCCGAUAAAUGGGUGUAGCUAGUUAUGGCGGGACACUCUAGUCAUGCGCCCCCGGCGGUCAAUUUAGGACCUUCCAAAUGAAACACCAAGUCUGUAAAGUGAAAGAUUCCAUAUCAUGCUUUUUUAGGGUUAAUCAUUGCAUUUGGGGGUACCAGUAUAAUAGGGUUACAUGCCUGUAUGUUAGAGAUACCCCUUAUUACUAUCACUGUUAAUUUCUGCAAAACCAAUUUCAGUGUCUUUCAAAAACGGUCUGAUUUGUAUCACGCCGCAUUAAGGCCCCCGUUCCGAGUAGGCCAGGCUUCUAUGAUUGGUCAAACUUUGAAUUCACGCCCCCAAGAAGUUUUUAACAUUGUGGGUAGCCGGGAGGCGCGUCUUCUGCACUUCAGCACCGCCCACUGCACUUCACACUAAUAUGGAGGUAAAGUUUGAGCACAAGCAAGCUGUUUCACACACUUAUCGAGGGGCGUUCUCAGGGGGCAUGAAUACUCCUUCUGGCUCAGAUAGAGAUUUUUCUAGCUUUGCAGACGUUAAACAUGUAUACAUACAUCAUACAUCAGUCUAAAGCAAAGGGAAAAGUCGAAAAAGCAUUAUAUCAUUCCUUUAAGUGUGCUGAGCAGAAUUCACCCAGCCUCCACCUGCUCUGGUUCUGCUCUGUGUUGUAUGUAACCGACACUACGGGUUCAUAUAUCUGAUGAACCCCAUGGAGGAUUGUAUUGUGCUCCCUGUUGUCAUGUUGGUAUUCUGUACCUGACAUCUAUUUGUGAUGCUUUAAAUCCUACAGCAGGGAGCACCAGAAAAGAGUGGAGACAUACUGCUCAACUAAAAUGUAUCACCAUUUCAUGAAAUAAAUGGUUAAAUCGAGUGAUUAUUUGCAGAACUUUUACGCUCAACUAUUGUUCUUCUUAAGCUUUAUCAUUCUUUAGUCCGAAGACUUUAGCCCUCUACUCC
rnacentral:lncRNA from 1 species